GUGCUCACUCCGGUGCAUAUAUACUAAUAUUGGAAUGAUAUAGAGAAGAUUAGCAUGGCCCCUGCAGAAAGAUGACAUGCAAGUUCGUAAAGUGUUCCAUUUUUUA
ensembl:snRNA U6 U6 spliceosomal RNA